GAGCUCCAGCGGCUGCACGUGGACAGAGGGCGGAAUGCAGAUGAGGCUGCUGUGGGAUACGUCCAGGAGACUCUGGAGCGCCAGGCGCGGGGGCUCUGCACACAUGAUCUUCCUGUCCCUGGAGAUCACUUCUCCGUCGGUCUCUGAGAAAGCACCUGCUCCUUAAGUCUUCCUGCAACAAGUGCCACUGUUUUUAGGAACCUGGGCGUCCACAUAGACAUCUCACCAGCACUGAAACCUCACAAGUCCUCUCAGCCUUGCCUUUGGAUGCCCUCUCUUGGGAAUGUCCCCAGUCCUGGUCAGCUGUCUCUCUCCUUUGCAAUUUUGUCUGCCUCCCCUCAGCCUAAAAGUGUGCAGAACCCUCAAUUCUGUUAAGUCACCCUGUGGAGUUCCUGUCUUCUGUUUUCCCCAGGCAGGGUGCCUGAGCUGUAUUCCCCAGCACACCCACUCCCGCAGCCCUCCAGUGUGGCUGCAGGCGGUGGUGCAGCCUUCCAGACUGCUGCCCAGUUGCCUGAUGUCAGAGCCCCUCCACACAUGAGCCUGCUCCCUACUGCCAACACCGUGGCCCAGACAGAGACGCUUUCCGAGGAAGAGGUACCUGUGAGGCGCAGGACUUGCAGACUGGCCAGGGGCUGCAGGGCCUCUCGGCUGAUGGUGCCCAGCUGGUUCCUGCUGAGGUCCAGCAGUGCUAGGGAGGACAGCCCCGCUAGAGCCUGGUCCUCCAGCAGCUCAAUGCUGUUUUCUUGCAGGUGAAGCUCCUGCAGUCGCUGAAGUAAGGACAGCAGAUCGUGAGGAAAAAGGGCGCCGAGGUUGGGGGCAUGUCUCUCUUCUUACCAAGCUAGACUGGGUUGCCUUUUCUAACUAUUCCAGCCCUACAGGGCGAGGGGCCAUAAUGGAGUAUCCCGCCCCUUUAGACCCCAGGCGCUCACCGGCAG
rnacentral:lncRNA from 1 species